GAUGAAGAACGCAGCGAAAUGUGAUAAGUAAUGUGAAUUGCAGAAUUCAGUGAAUCAUCGAAUCUUUGAACGCACAUUGCGCCCGCCAGUAUUCUGGCGAGCAUGCCUGUUCGAGCGUCAUUACAACCAUCAAGCCCCAGGCUUGUGUUGGAGCCCUGCGGCUGCCGCAGCCUCCCAAAACCAGUGGCGGGCUCGCUAUCACACCGAGUGCAGUAGUUUACUCUUCGCUCAGGGCGUGUGGCGGGUGCUAGCCGUGAAACCCCCAACUUCUCAAGGUUGACCUCGGAUCAGGUAGGAAUACCCGCUGAACUUAAGCAUAUCAAUAAGCGGAGGA
rnacentral:misc_RNA from 1 species